UACAGGGGGUGCAAGCGUUGCUCGGAAUCAUUGGGCGUAAAGCGCACGUAGGCGGUCUGUUAUGUCGGAUGUGAAAUCCCGGGGCUCAACCUCGGAACUGCCUUUGAUACUGCAAAUCUCGAGUCCGGAAGAGGUGAGUGGAAUUCCUAGUGUAGAGGUGAAAUUCGUAGAUAUUAGGAAGAACACCAGUGGCGAAGGCGGCUCACUGGUCCGGUACUGACGCUGAGGUGCGAAAGCGUGGGGAGCAAACAGG
rnacentral:rRNA from 1 species